AUUGAACGCUGGCGGCAGGCUUAACACAUGCAAGUCGAGCGAGCGGCGGACGGGUGAGUAAUGUCUGGGAAACUGCCUGAUGGAGGGGGAUAACUACUGGAAACGGUAGCUAAUACCGCAUACCAUCAGAUGUGCCCAGAUGGGAUUAGCUAGUAGGUGGGGUAAUGAUUCCCCAAGACGACGAUCCCUAGCUGGUCUGAGAGGAGGACAAGCCAACCUGGAACUGCGACACGGUCCAGACGCCUAAGUGAGGAAGCAGUGGGGAAGAUUGCACGAUGGGCGAAAGCCGGAUGCAGCCAUGCCGCGUGUAUGAAGAAGGCCUUCGGGUUGUAAAGUACUUUCAGCGGGGAGGCGUUACCCGCAGAAGAAGCACAGGCUAACUCCGUGCCAGCAGCCGCGGUAAUUC
rnacentral:rRNA from 1 species